rnacentral:rRNA from 1 species
AUUGAACGCUGGCGGAAUGCUUUACACAUGCAAGUCGAACGGCAGCACGGACUUCGGUCUGGUGGCGAGUGGCGAACGGGUGAGUAAUAUAUCGGAACGUGCCCAGUCGUGGGGGAUAACGUAGCGAAAAUUACGCUAAUACCGCAUACGAUCUAUGGAUGAAAGCGGGGGAUCGCAAGACCUCGCGCGAUUGGAGCGGCCGAUAUCAGAUUAGGUAGUUGGUGAGGUAAAGGCUCACCAAGCCGACGAUCUGUAGCUGGUCUGAGAGGACGACCAGCCACACUGGAACUGAGACACGGUCCAGACUCCUACGGGAGGCAGCAGUGGGGAAUUUUGGACAAUGGACGCAAGUCUGAUCCAGCCAUUCCGCGUGCAGGACGAAGGCCUUCGGGUUGUAAACUGCUUUUGUACAGAACGAAAAGGUUUCUAUUAAUACUAGGGGCUCAUGACGGUACUGUAAGAAUAAGCACCGGCUAACUACGUGCCAGCAGCCGCGGUAA